rnacentral:rRNA from 1 species
GAGGAACGCUGGCGGCGUGCUUAACACAUGCAAGUCGAACGAAGCGGUUUAGCGGAAGUUUUCGGAUGGAAGUUAAACUGACUGAGUGGCGGACGGGUGAGUAACGCGUGGGUAACCUGCCUCACACGGGGGGACAACAGCUAGAAGUGGCUGCUAAUACCGCAUAAGCGCACAGCUUCGCAUGAAGCAGUGUGAAAAACUCCGGUGGUGUGAGAUGGACCCGCGUCUGAUUAGCUGGUUGGUGAGGUAACGGCUCACCAAGGCGACGAUCAGUAGCCGACCUGAGAGGGUGACCGGCCACAUUGGGACUGAGACACGGCCCAAACUCCUACGGGAGGCAGCAGUGGGGAAUAUUGCACAAUGGGGGAAACCCUGAUGCAGCGACGCCGCGUGAGUGAAGAAGUAUUUCGGUAUGUAAAGCUCUAUCAGCAGGGAAGAGAAUGACGGUACCUGACUAAGAAGCCCCGGCUAACUACGUGCCAGCAGCCGCGGUAAUACGUAGGGGGCAAGCGUUAUCCGGAUUUACUGGGUGUAAAGGGAGCGUAGACGGCUUAGCAAGUCUGAAGUGAAAGCCCGGGGCUCAACCCCGGGACUGCUUUGGAAACUGUUAAGCUGGAGUGCUGGAGAGGUAAGCGGAAUUCCUAGUGUAGCGGUGAAAUGCGUAGAUAUUAGGAGGAACACCAGUGGCGAAGGCGGCUUACUGGACAGUAACUGACGUUGAGGCUCGAAAGCGUGGGGAGCAAACAGGAUUAGAUACCCUGGUAGUCCACGCUGUAAACGA